rnacentral:lncRNA from 1 species
UUUUAAAAUAAUCCACUUCUUCCCAUUAAACAAAAAGUGCCUUGAGAUUGGAUCCAAGUUUUGUUUUUUUCUUCUAACUUCCAACAUUUCAUAUUGAGCACAGGACUUCAGGACUUCAUUUUCAUUGGUGCUUCAGAAACAUCACUUACUGGUAAAGAUAAAUGAGAAGUAUUCAGUUAUGAAUAAGUUGUCAGAGAUGUCUCUCAUGUGUGAGAUGGUUCCAUUUCCCAAGGAUUUCUCUCAUUUCUGUAGUAGCGUGUAUGACAGCCCAUAUGGAGUCUACAACUAGAAUCCAGACUGUGUAUGCAAUACGGAGAUAGAUGUCCCACACCUACUUCCUGGUUUUGGAACAUGAGGAAAUCACUCAAUUGGACUGUAAAAAUUUAAAUCUGUAUUUGUUUAAUCAUGCAGAAUAUUUAUUUUUAAUCUUAUUAUUUAAAAAAUAAAACAGAUACAAAAGGCCAGGCACGGAACAGAUACAAAAGACACAUGAAACAAAUGUAUAGCCUAAUGAAUUAUUACAUGUCCAACUUUCUUAUAACCAACACCAAAGUCAAGAAAUAGAACUAGGACAGUUAUCCCGGAAGCCCCUCCACAUAUCCUGUCUCAAUUAUAGUCCCUUCCCUCCAUCCUUACCCUCCCAUCCCAAGAAAUCACUGUCCCGACUUUUAUAGCAGUGGUUCUCAAAGUGUCUAGAAUCUUGAUAGAAAAGCAAAUUAUUGGGCCCCAUCACAGACCUAAGAAAUAAAAAACUCUUGGAGUGGAGCCCAGCAAUCCAUGUUUUAAAUUUUUUUCCAGGUGAUUCUCAUGAAAACUUAAAGCUUGAGAACCACUGUUUUAGAGGAAUCACUUCCUUCUGUUUCUUUGUCAUUUUAUUACUAAAGUAUGCACUCUUAAACACUGUAGUUUAUUCCUGCCCAUUUAAAAAAUUUCAUUUAAGUCUCUUUCAAUAUAAAGUUUUCCCCUUCAGCCCCUUCUUUUCCUUACAAUUUACCUGUUAAAGAAUCCAGGCUGUUUGACCUGUAUCAUUUUCCACAGUUUGGCCUUUGCUGAGUGUAUACUCAUGGUGCAGUUCAACAGAUGCUUCUCUCCUCUAUUUCCUGCAAAUUGGCAGCUGGAUCCAGAGGUUAAUUGGACUUCAGUUUGAUCUCACUGGCAAGACUACAGGUGAUGUUCUGUUUUUUCAAUCAGGAGGCACAUGUUUGUCUGUCUGUGAUGUUAGAAACUGUUGAUAAUGCCUAAAUCCAUUAAUUUAUUGGGGGUUACAAAGUGGUGAUGUUCUAAUUCUAUCAUUUCUUUUUCAUUUUUCAUUAUUAGCUAAAAUCGUUUUUUGUUGGGUUUUUUUUUUUUUUUUUUUUUUUUUUUUUU